AUGACAGGGAACCGGCGCCACCGCCGGCGCCGGAGAGCGCGACCGCAGCAGGCCGCCGAACCCUCGCCGCCGCCGGCACCAGCCAGCCUCAGCUCCAGGGAAGUUGCUGUUGCAGCAAGGCCCUCUAAGAAAAUCUGUGAUGCCUCUGGAUCUAUUUCCUCAUCCUCAUCGGGAUCUCAUGCCUGGGAAAGCCUUCUAGACAGCCUGCUCCACCAAAUCAUUUCGCUCAUUAGCUCAUUUCAUGACUUCCUUGCUUUCCGUGGCACCUGUCACUCAUGGCACGCCGCAGCCUCUUCCUUCCCAUCUGUAUAUACCUUCAGCUUCCCACCUCUCCACCUCAAACCAGAUGUAAGCCAGGAGAGUUACAACUCAGAUCGGAAAUCGCAGCUUGUUGAUCCUGCUAAGAAAAGUUUAUCCCAUCGUUGUUCAGCGCCUGGAAUUACUCCACAUCCCAUGCGCUAUCUGGGCUGCUCAUAUGGUUAUCUUAUCUUCUCUGAUAGGAGACACUGCCAUCUCGUCGAUGUGUACACUGGCACAAAGGUGAAGCCACCAAAAUUCCAAUCUGAGAGCAACACUUUGAUCUACCUUGGCAUCCUUACGGCUCCACUAGAUUCGCCCAAUUCACGUCUCAUCCUUUUCUCGAGAAUCUCCAUGCUCCAGUGGCAGGUUGGAACAAAUUCUUGGACAGAGCACCCUCAGGUUGGUGAACUCAUCCAUCAGAUUGUGCUCUUCAAAGGCCAGAUGUUUGCCAUGGACUUUGUUCAAAGGCUACAUACCAUACACAUAUCACCUGAGCUCAGCAUGCAGGAAGUAGCAGUUAUGUGGGAACAGAGCAUGCUCGUAGGCCUUCAUUCUAAGCCAUGGUUGGUGGUCUGUGGUGACAUGCUUCUCUUGGUAGAUCUCUCGGUAAGCAUGGACCAACUGUUUGGCUUUCCUGGCACCUUUCAAGUCUUCCGCCUCGACUUCUCAGUUGAACCAGCUAAGUGGGUGAAGAUGGAUAAGUUGGACAAUUGGGCUCUCUUCCUCACCAAUGAUAGGAGAAACCCUACAUUUUCUUGCAUGAACCCUGAAAGAUGGGGAGGAAAGAGUAACUAUAUUUAUGUUCCAACAAAAUCAGAAGAUUUUGAUGAGCCAUGGACUGCAAUAGAGGUUGGACAGCCGGUGCCCAGCUCGACUCACCGUAUGUCAUUCAGUUCCGCAGCCACUGCCCAUUGCAGUCCACUAAAUAGCCUCUGGGUGCUUCCCAGUUUGGUUUACGGGGUUGACCAGUGA
rnacentral:rRNA from 1 species